AUUCAUUAUGAUGAACUCAUCAUCAACAAAUCAUCAACCCAUCAGCGUCUUUAAAAGGGUUAGCGGUUCAAAACAUGGGAAAUAUCUAAUAGAAUUAGCGACGUGAUCAAAUUAUAUUAAUGAUUAAAAAGGCUUUACGUUCAGUAAAUACAAUAAACAUAACAGUAAAUAUAAGAAAAUACCAUACUUAAAGAUAGAUUUUUAGGUGUUAAUCACACUCACCAGUGUUUUCUUCUGUUAAUGUAAUGGCCUUUUGUCACUGUUGAAAGACAGAAAAUGCCCCAGAAGACGGGGAAGGGGAAGAGAAACCCAUUGCUUUUUUGUUUCCUGUUGUUUCUACAUGCCAGAACUUCGGUGAGGUUUCACCACCUUCUUGUGUAAACUAUAUUGGGGCGGGUUACGCUCAAUCCCUACCCCUAUAGUAGCGAAGUCACGCGCCUUCCGGUAGAGCGAGAUCGACCGAUAAAAAAUAUGAAUAGGUUUCAAUGGAGAGAAGGUUUCCCAAAGCCAGAGCGAUGAGGAUAAAGUGGGAAAUUGCCCUAAGAAGGGAUGGUUUUGCUGCCUCUGACAGGACACUGCUCUGCAGUGACCACUUCAGGAGGUGGGGAUUUCAACAUGCAGCCUUUCUUGAUGUAUAUUUGUAAAGGGAAAUCUUGUACCUAUUUUAGAACAUUAUUCUAUUUUUCUAAGAACCUAACAAUUAUUCAUAAAUAUGUAGGGUCAUACCUAAAUCUAUGGCGUUUAUAACGAAAAGAAACCGUUUGAAAAUCGGUUGAAAAUUGAGCAAGUUCUCAUCUCAUCUCAUUUUCGUCCGCUUAUCCGGGGUCGGGUCGCGGGGGGAGCAGCUCAAGCAGGGGGCUCCAGACUUCCCUUUCCCGGGCCACAUUAACCAACUCUGACGGGGGGACCCCGUGUCAGGAUCCUCGCAUGGACUGUUGUUUUUGUCUCCCCCUACCUGUUGGAGUGUGAUUGUUCUGGACUUUGUUUAUGUUUGGAGCCAUGUGUUGGUCAUGUGUCCGGGGUGACACCCAUGUCCUUAUUUGGGCGACUUCCUGCCUUUUGUUUGUGCCCUCCAUUUUCUCUGUCCACCUGUCCCUCAUUUUGUAUUGAUUGGUGGAGUAUUUAAACGCUGCCCUUUCUGCUCACUUUGUCAGAUCGUCACGUUAGGUACUGUUUGCUACCCGACUGCCACGUGAGUGCGACUAGCGUGAAGCUCUUUAAGGAGAGACAAUAGUUUCUGUUCUUCCCGGUUUUGAACCCUGCCUGUUUGGAUUAAGCCUUCUGCCUAUCAGUUUUUGGAUCUCCUGCCUGUAGCUGUCCGUCAGUAUCUGUCUGCCUGCCUGCCUGUUUACGAACCCUGCCUGUACCUGGAAUCUGAUUUGCCCGCUGGACUGUAUGGAAAUAAACCCCUUUUGAUCUGCUAUUGAUUCCCGUUCUGUGUCGU
rnacentral:lncRNA from 1 species